CUUCGGCGAAGCGGAGAACUUAAGCCCCAGUAAACGGCGGUGGUAACUAUAACCAUCCUAAGGUAGCGAAAUUCCUUGUCGGGUAAGUUCCGACCUGCACGAAUGGAGUAACGACUUCCCCGCUGUCUCAACCAUGAACUCGGCGAAAUUGCAUUACGAGUAAAGAUGCUCGUUACGCGCAGAAGGCGGGAAAGGCCCCGUGACCUUUACUAUAGUUUGGUAUUGGUGUUCCGGUGUGGCUUGUGUAGGAUAGGUGGGAGACUGUGAAGCGGGCACGCCAAUGUUCGUGGAGUCGUCGUUGAAAUACCACUCUGGUCACUCUGGAUAUCUAACUUCGGCCCGUGAUCCGGGUCAGGGACAGUGCCUGAUGGGUAGUUUAACUGGGGCGGUUGCCUCCUAAAAUGUAACGGAGGCGCCCAAAGGUUCCCUCAGCCUGGUUGGUAAUCAGGUGUCGAGUGCAAGUGCACAAGGGAG
rnacentral:rRNA from 1 species